rnacentral:rRNA from 1 species
AUUGAACGCUGGCGGAAUGCUUUACACAUGCAAGUCGAACGGCAGCACGGGGGGCAACCCUGGUGGCGAGUGGCGAACGGGUGAGUAAUACAUCGGAACGUGCCCAGUCGUGGGGGAUAACUACGCGAAAGCGUAGCUAAUACCGCAUACGAUCUACGGGUGAAAGCGGGGGAUCGCAAGACCUCGCGCGAUUGGAGCGG